GAGAGUAUAGUUCAGUGGUAGAGUACAUGUCUAGUAUGCACGAGGUCCUGGGUUCAAUCCCCAAUACCUCCA
rnacentral:tRNA from 1 species